rnacentral:rRNA from 1 species
CCUACGGGAGGCUGCAGUAGGGAAUCUUCCACAAUGGGCGAAAGCCUGAUGGAGCAACGCCGCGUGGGUGAAGAAGGUCUUCGGAUCGUAAAACCCUGUUGUUAGAGAAGAAAGUUCGUGAGAGUAACUGUUCCCGUUUCGACGGUAUCUAACCAGAAAGCCCCGGCUAACUACGUGCCAGCAGCCGCGGUAAUACGUAGGUGGCAAGCGUUAUCCGGAUUUAUUGGGCGUAAAGGGCACGCAGGCGGUCUUUUAAGUCAGAUGUGAAAGCCUUCGGCUUAACCGGGGUAGUGCAUUUGAAACUGGGAGACUGGAGUGCAGGAGAGGAGAGUGGAACUCCAGGUGUAGCGGUGAAAUGCGUAGAUAUAUGGAAGAACACCAGUGGCGAAGGCGACUAGCUGGUCUGUAACUGACGCUGAGGUUCGAAAGCGUGGGUAGCAAACAGGAUUAGAUACCCGAGUAGUC